GACCAAAAAAGAGAGUUUUCAGUGGAUAGAUGCUUGUUCCCAGUGCAGGAGGUUUUUGUACGGCCACUUCAUGAGUUUGUAUCACUGUGGUGGACUUUUGGUGGAGGAACCAAACUCAUCAUUCACUCUGGCCCCAUGGACAGGCCCUCAGUCUCUCUGCUUCCCCCUUCCUCUGAGCAGCUCUCUGGGGGCUUGGCCACGCUGGCCUGCCUCCUGACUGGCUACUCUCCUCAGGGAGCCGUGGUGAGCUGGGAGCUGGACGGUACAGAGGUGACAGAGGGGGUCCUGAGCAGCUCCGAGGAGGAGAAGAGUGGACGCUACAGCAGCAGCAGCACCCUGAGCCUGAGCCAGGAGCGCUGGAUUAAAGGAGAGCUGUACUCCUGCAGGGUCCUCCAUCAUGGCCACAGCCAGACCCUGUCCCUCCACAGGAGCCAGUGUAAGGGCUAGAGGGGCUGGCUGGAGCCCAGGACAGGAGCUCUGUGUGGGGGGAGCAGGAGGAACACACCUGCUGCUCUGAUCAAUAUGAGUUUCAAUGUUUGUAGAGGAAACUAAAGCUUUGUGUGACAGAGAACAGCACUGCUGUAAAGUGUUGGACAGCAACUUAGAGAGUAAUGUGUGUCGCUCAGCAGCUGGAUGUGUGUGUGUGUGCUUAAUAACUGUCAUGUUGAUGAUUGAUGUUGAUGCUAAUAAAGCUUUCACUGUUGAAUGA